CCCCUUUGUUUCCGUGUUUGUAGAGGCGGCAGCGUGUUUUCCGGCGCUGCAGUGGCCGUAGUGGAGAGCAUUUGCCUUGGAGGCUUCCUUGUGCCCUAUUGUUAUGAUGGGAUACAGCUCUGACUAAACCGGUGCCUGUGUGUGUUUUCGCUACAAAGACCUGAAUGGUAAGUGGUUUAACUUGCCUUUUACUGAGAGUUAGAAGCGUAUAUGUUGUUAAUGUUUCCUCUCUUGUGUUUGUCAUAGGAGACUCCCUCUCGUUGCUAUUGUCGUGUUGGCUAUUGCUAAUUGAGUGGUGCUGCUAGCGCUGUUCGUUUUUAGGGCUGGGAAGAUACAGCUGCUAACCGUGUGAGAAGCUAAGGUUGCUAAUUGCUGAUAG